GGGCGAUUAGCUCAGUUGGUUAGAGCGCCACCUUUACACGGUGGAUGUCAGGGGUUCGAGUCCCUUAUCGCCCACCU
rnacentral:tRNA from 2 species